AGUGGUCCAGCAUUUCUGUGUUCUCAAAUACUGGCUGUUAGGAAUUGUGGGAGUUGAAGUCCAAAACAUCUGGAGGGCCAAAGUUUGCCCAUGCCUGAUUUAGAUCCAUCUCAAAAAAAGGGUAUAUUUGCCAAGCCCUUUGGGUACAACCUUGGAAAUAUCUGGCUAUAGUGCAAAAUGUUCUCAGGUGUUGGGUUUUGGAAGCUGCACAAGAUGGCUUUAAGGCAAUUUCUGCCCCCUCAGCCAAAACAUAAACAGCCAACUUCAGUAAGCUGGAAAUAAUGUCUUAAUCUUGUAUCCAGCUCAAUAGCAGAUUGUGAUGGGAAAGUUCUGGAAAGUGCAGUAUAGAGCAGGCAUGGGCAAACCUUAGCCCUCCAGAUAUUUAAUAAUAAUAAUAAUAAUAAUAAUAAUAAUAAUAAUAAUAAUACGGCUGUCACCUGGGAUGGCAACGUCAAUGAUCCAAACUUUUUUCUUUUCCACAACUGUGAUGUCUGGUGUGUUGUGUUCCAGACCAUCACAGUUGUGGAAAAGAAAAAGGUUUGGAUCAUUGAUGUUGCCAUCCCAGGUGACAGUCGCAUUGACAAAAAACAACAGGAAAAACUCAGCCGCUAUCAGGACCUCAAGAUUGAACUUCAAAGACUAUGGCAGAAACCAGUGCAGGUGGUCCCAGUGGUGAUCGGCACAUUGGGUGCCGUGCCAAAAGAUCUCAGCCGGCAUUUGGAAACAAUAGACAUUGACAAAAUCAUGAUCUGCCAACUGCAAAAGGCCACCCUACUGGGAUCUGCACGCAUCAUCCGAAAAUACAUCACACAGUCCUAGACACUUGGGAAGUGUUCGACUUGUGAUUUUGUGAUACAAAAUACAGCAUAUCUAUCUUGUUUGCUGUGUCAUACAACGUAGUUGUGUCAAUAAUAAUAAUAAUAAUAAUAAUAAUAAUAAUUGUUAUUAUUCUAUUUUAUUUCUAACCUGCCCUCUCUCCCCAAAAGGACUAAGGGCAGCUUCCAAAUGCAAAGGCAAAUAUUCAAUGCCAUAUACAAUAAUAAAAACACAACACAAUAAAAAAGCAAAUAAAUCAUAGAAAAUAGAUUCUAUAGGGAGGAUAAAUGAUUGGAUUUCAACUCCUACAGCUUAGGUUUCUCUGCCAAUAAUGGUACCAUACCAAACUACAGCUCCCAAGAUUCUGUAGCAGUGAGCCAUCUUGGAUAUUGCAAGGGAUGAUUUAUUAUUAUUAUUAUUAUUAUUAUUAUUAUUAUUAUUAUUAUUAUUAUUAUUAGGCCUUGUUCCCAGGAAGGUUCCUCCGCUGUGGCUCCCUACUUAUCUAUCUACCUUUCCACAUAUUCUCCACAUUGUGUGUAUGUGUAUGUAUAUAUAUUUAUAUAUACACACACACACACGCACACACACACACAGGGACUGUAUGUGCCAUAUAUAUUCUAUUCACCUCUACCUUCUACCUUUUAUUUUUCAGUGUUUGGUUUGGGGGGGGGGGGGACACCAAAAUGUUGCUUGC
rnacentral:lncRNA from 1 species